UACGUAGGGUGCAAGCGUUGUCCGGAAUUAUUGGGCGUAAAGAGCUCGUAGGCGGUUUGUCGCGUCUGCUGUGAAAACCCGAGGCUCAACCUCGGGCCUGCAGUGGGUACGGGCAGACUAGAGUGCGGUAGGGGAGAUUGGAAUUCCUGGUGUAGCGGUGGAAUGCGCAGAUAUCAGGAGGAACACCAAUGGCGAAGGCAGAUCUCUGGGCCUUAACUGACGCUGAGGAGCGAAAGCGUGGGGAGCGAACAGG
rnacentral:rRNA from 1 species